rfam:Hordeum vulgare subsp. vulgare, WGS project CAJW01000000 data, contig: morex_contig_2550310
GAUCUACUCCCUCCGUCCGGAAUUACUAGUCGCAUAAAUAAAUAAAAAUGAAUGUAUCUAGAACUAAAAUACAUCUAGAUACAUCUAUUCUUAUGACAAGUAUUUCCGGACGGAUGGAGUAGUAG